UACGGGGGGGGCAAGCGUUGUUCGGAAUUACUGGGCGUAAAGGGCUCGUAGGCGGCCAACUAAGUCAGACGUGAAAUCCCUCGGCUUAACCGGGGAACUGCGUCUGAUACUGGAUGGCUUGAGAUUGGGAGAGGGAUGCGGAAUUCCAGGUGUAGCGGUGAAAUGCGUAGAUAUCUGGAGGAACACCGGUGGCGAAGGCGGCAUCCUGGACCAACACUGACGCUGAGGAGCGAAAGCCAGGGGAGCAAGCGGG
rnacentral:rRNA from 1 species